CCUACGGGCGACAGCAGUCGAGAAUCAUUCACAAUGGGGGAAACCCUGAUGGUGCGACGCCGCGUGGGGGAAUGAAGGUCUUCGGAUUGUAAACCCCUGUCAUGUGGGAGCAAAUUAAAAAGAUAGUACCACAAGAGGAAGAGACGGCUAACUCUGUGCCAGCAGCCGCGGUAAUACAGAGGUCUCAAGCGUUGUUCGGAAUCACUGGGCGUAAGGCGUGCGUAGGCUGUUUCGUAAGUCGUGUGUGAAAGGCGCGGGCUCAACCCGCGGACGGCACAUGAUACUGCGAGACUAGAGUAAUGGAGGGGGAACCGGAAUUCUCGGUGUAGCAGUGAAAUGCGUAGAUAUCGAGAGGAACACUCGUGGCGAAGGCGGGUUCCUGGACAUUAACUGACGCUGAGGCACGAAGGCCAGGGGAGCGAAAGGGAUUAGAUACCCCAGUAGUC
rnacentral:rRNA from 1 species